rnacentral:misc_RNA from 1 species
UGGCUCAUCGCGAAGCGGCACAUCCAUACAGACAGACGGAGGGGACUCUACUGUUUGCACACGAACCACCACUUCUGCAUCGAGACAACUAGCGACGCGAGCAGGAGUAGCUCAACGCUUUUUCCACCCCCUCCCCUCCGUUCUUAAGAAAGCACAUAAGAAGAUGCCGAAAUCGAAGCGCGCCAAGAUUGUUCCGCUCACCAAGACGCAGGCGAAGACGCGUGAGGACAAGGACAAGCUCAUUGAGCGCAUCCGCGAAGCCCUGGAGGACUACAGUGAUGUGUACACCUUUCAGCUCCACAACAUCCGCACCAACAUCCUGCAGCAGAUUCGCGAGGAGCGCGCCGGAGACAGCCGCAUCUUCCUGGGCAACAACAAGAUCAUGAUGAUCGCCAUCGGGCGAGAUGAGGAGAGCGCGCAGAAGCCGAACUUGCACAAGCUGUCGCCAUUUCUCACGGGACUGUGUGGGCUGCUCUUUACGAACCUCAGCAAGAAGGAGGUAAAGGAGUACUUUGCAACUGUUGGAGCCCCAGUCUACGCUCGCACCGGGCAGACGGCAACGGAGUCGCUCGUGCUCAAGGGAGGUCCGCUGCCGCAGUUUCCGCACAGCAUGUUUGACCACCUCGCCAAACUUGGUCUUCCCAUCAAGCUGGAUCGUGGGGUCAUUGUGCUGCUGCAAGACACCACCGUGUGCGAGCCGGGUGAUACGCUUAGCGCGGAGGCCGCGCAGCUCCUGAAGCUCUUUGGGGUUCAGUCUGCCGAGUUCAAGAUGGACCUGACAGCGCACUGGACAAACGGCGUAGCAAAGAAGGUCAGCAAUAGCGCAUCGAAGAGAAGUGGGAAGUAGCGAAAGUAUCGCCGUCCGGCAGCGUCCUUGCAGGGCGAAUGGAGCACGUCGGACGGAUUUUUGCCGAUCCCCCUAGUCUUGGGAGGCAUGGGACAGAGAACCAAGGAAGGGCGUCGCGGUGACCGCUUAGCGAACGGUUCCUCGACACCGCGUUCGGAAAGUUGUUUCAUCACGGUGCAAGUCUACACUGGUGUCUCUCUGUCUCAGCGCCUGUGUGUACAUGUGUGUGCGUGUGUGUGUGUUUGUUCAUGCGUGACUCGCGUCUAACUGGUAAUGAUGUGCACUUUUCUGUUGUGGGAGUGUUAAAAAAGCGAAUAAGCGCAUCUUCUCUCUUUGCUUACUGUUGGCUUGAUAAGCAAACUACCCAUUG